CUCAUGCUUCAGCCGACACCCCCUAGAAUUCCUUUCUCUGCAUUUCUUGAAGAAACCCUAACUAUAUGUAACAUACCAUCCUCUUCAUCCUUCAUUUUUACAAAAAUAGAGCCCUAAUCAGAUCACUACAAACGCAUAACCAGACCCCUCUCUUCUCUUUGUCCGUUCGCCGGCGACCAGGAGCCGUUUUCCGGCUUGUUUCUCCGACAAACACCCACCCCCACAUCCCUCGUCUCUUUCACCAUGCCCAACGAACAGGAUCAGCCGACCACCACCACUUUCGGGUGGUGGCGCGUGGUGGCGUUGGACGGUAGGUUACGAGCGGAUGAGAGCAGAAGAGAUGAGAGAGAGACCUGUUGAAGAAAGAGAGAGAGAGAGCAGUGACUGAACGACGGCGAAGUGCCGUCUCCGACGGUGGCGGCAGUGCCGCCGUGACGGUGGUGGAGGCGACGACAGUGGUGGGGUGUAUGUGUUUGGUUCGGUUCAGGCAACAACUUAACAGGCUUGGUUUUGGUUCAAGAGGUGGUUCAGUUCAAGACGGGUUUUGGGUUUAGGUGACGUCUCGGUUCGGGUCAGUUUUGGGUCCUGGUUACAAGAUAAAAAAAGGGUGUGCGGUUUUAGUUCCAGUUUGGUUCAGAAAUUGUGGCUCGGGAGCAUCGGUUCGGCUCAAUGGUUAAUCGGUCAAGUCAUGGGUCUCGGUUCAGUUCAGAUGUCGGUUCUGAUCUCGUAUGUUUCAGUUCAGAUUUUGGGUGCGGUUCCAAGUCGGUCACAGCUUCGGUUCGGGUCAAGCGGCCUUGGGUCAGACUCAGUUCGGUUGACUUGGUCAAACCGAGUCAACUCAGUCAAUGACAGUCAACUGUUGGUCAACACCGGUCAAUAGAAGUCAAGGAUGGUCAACUGGUCAUAGAAGACCCGGUAAAGUUUUAACAAUGCGUUAAACUUUAUAUAUAGAUUCGUUAGACUUUUACUUUACGCGACCGAGCUCGACCCGACUAAACUAGAUACUAGCUUACGUUUUGGUAUAUUUAAUGAGAAUUUUUUUUAUAUAUAUAUAGUGUUUAUUGGUUGAAUCA